GGUGAGCAUCCCCCUAUAGAUGUAAAAUUCAAGAUCUUUUUGGGUGAGGUGAAUCCGUUUAUCAGGGUCAAGGUGUAUGCCUUUAGUUGGGCGUGAAAGAAGCAAUCGCUGUCUCAGGCUCUCCACAAUUUCUAAGUACCGUAUCCUCAAGGUCAAAAUUUAAAGAUCCUCGGUCAGGCCAAGUGAGCAGGUUCUCUCAAGUGUAUCGUUCGCGAUUCUUUGGUUGAAGUAUAUUCGUUUGCCAGGGUCAAGUUCAGGUGUAUACCUUUGAUUAGGCUCAGAAGGGAGAGACCACUGUCUAAAUUUUCUCCGCAAUUUCCUGAAUAAGUGAUUUAUCGUUUUGAUUUUU